rnacentral:rRNA from 1 species
UACGUAGGGGGCAAGCGUUGUCCGGAAUUAUUGGGCGUAAAGAGCUCGUAGGCGGCUUAGUAAGUCGGCGGUGAAAUACCGAAGGCUCAACCUCGGACACUGCCGUCGAUACUGCUAUAGGCUAGAGGUUUGGUAGAGGAGAACGGAAUUCCGGUGUAGCGGUGGAAUGCGCAGAGUAAUCGGGAGGAACACCCGUAGCGAAGGCG